CCAAGAAGUUACUCUUUUUAUCGUGACAUAAUUAUGGGGCUCUCACUCAGGUUAUUGGAUUUUAUUAUUUCUAACUAUUGGAUAUUGGCCGCUGUCACUCUACAGGUAGAUCUGCUCUUAAAAGACAAAAGGGGAGCCAAAAUCCACUCAACCGGAGUGACACAACACACAAAAUGUUAAGUUGGGAGUGAUGUGAGUCAAAGUGAUAGUUAAAAGUGCCAACGGCCAAUAUCCAAAUAGUUAGGAGUGAUAAAAUCCAAUAUCCCUUUAUUAUAAAUGAAUGAAUCAAAUGAAGAAACAAUGUCAAAUCGCAUCUAUUUAUCUCAUAGGUGAGAUCAAAUUCCCCAACUAUUGAAACUUUGUUUUGCCCGAACUUUUUAUACCAAAUUUUACUA